AACGAACGCUGGCGGCAUGCCUAAUACAUGCAAGUCGAACGAACACUUCGGUGUUAGUGGCGCACGGGUGCGUAACGCGUGGGAAUCUGCCCUUGGGUUCGGAAUAACAGUUAGAAAUGACUGCUAAUACCGGAUGAUGACGUAAGUCCAAAGAUUUAUCGCCCAGGGAUGAGCCCGCGUAAGAUUAGCUUGUUGGUGAGGUAAAGGCUCACCAAGGCUACGAUCUUUAGCUGGUCUGAGAGGAUGAUCAGCCACACUGGGACUGAGACACGGCCCAGACUCCUACGGGAGGCAGCAGUAGGGAAUAUUGGACAAUGGGGGCAACCCUGAUCCAGCAAUGCCGCGUGAGUGAUGAAGGCCUUAGGGUUGUAAAGCUCUUUUACCCGGGAUGAUAAUGACAGUACCGGGAGAAUAAGCUCCGGCUAACUCCGUG
rnacentral:rRNA from 1 species